rnacentral:rRNA from 1 species
GCGGAGGAAAAGAAACCAACUGGGAUUACCUUAGUAACGGCGAGUGAAGCGGUAAAAGCUCAAAUUUGAAAUCUGGUACUUUCAGUGCCCGAGUUGUAAUUUGUAGAAUUUGUCUUUGAUUAGGUCCUUGUCUAUGUUCCUUGGAACAGGACGUCAUAGAGGGUGAGAAUCCCGUUUGGCGAGGAUACCUUUUCUCUGUAAGACUUUUUCGAAGAGUCGAGUUGUUUGGGAAUGCAGCUCAAAGUGGGUGGUAAAUUCCAUCUAAAGCUAAAUAUUGGCGAGAGACCGAUAGCGAACAAGUACAGUGAUGGAAAGAUGAAAAGAACUUUGAAAAGAGAGUGAAAAAGUACGUGAAAUUGUUGAAAGGGAAGGGCAUUUGAUCAGACAUGGUGUUUUUUGCAUGCACUCGCCUCUCGUGGGCUUGGGCCUCUCAAAAAUUUCACUGGGCCAACAUCAAUUCUGGCAGCAGGAUAAAUCAUUAAGAAUGUAGCUACUUCGGUAGUGUUAUAGCUUUUUGGAAUACUGUUAGCCGGGAUUGAGGACUGCGCUCGGCAAGGA